UGGACUGGCCGCCAGGGUCCGGAAGAGGAGCGAGUUCACUCGAUCAUCUACGUUACGUGGGUGGUGGGGAGCGACGAGCUCUGGGUUACUGUGAAGAAAUUAGAGUGUUUAAAGCAGGCAGGAAAGCUUGAAUAGACGAGCAUGGAAUAACAAGAUAGGACAUUGAGAGCCUCUUGUUGGUGAAGGGGGACGGAUGUAAUGAUUAAUAGGGUCAGUUGGGGGCAUUAGUAUUCAGUAGUCAGAGGUGAAAUUCUUGGAUUUACUGAAGACUAACUAGUGCGAAAGCAUUUGCCAAGGAUGUUUUCAUUAAUCAAGAACGAAAGUUAGGGGAUCGAAGACGAUCAGAUACCGUCGUAGUCUUAACUAUAAACGAUGCCGACUAAGGAUCGGCAGGGGUCGGUUAGCGACACUGUCGGGACUUUGUGAGAAAUCAAAGUUUAUGGGUUCUGGGGGGAGUAUGGUCGCAAGGCUGAAACUUAAAGGAAUUGACGGAAGGGCACCACCAGGAGUGGAGCCUGCGGCUUAAUUUGACUCAACACGGGAAAACUCACCAGGUCCGGACAUGGUAAGGAUUGACAGAUUGAGAGCUCUUUCUUGAUUCUGUGGGUGGUGGUGCAUGGCCGUUCUUAGUUGGUGGAGUGAUUUGUCUGGUUAAUUCCGAUAACGAACGAGACCUUGACCUGCCAACUAGAUGCUAGUACGAGAGUAUUGGUAGACUUCUUAGAGGGACUGACUA
rnacentral:rRNA from 1 species